rfam:Ciona savignyi cont_40264, whole genome shotgun sequence.
ACUGGGUUGGCCAAGUGGUUAAGGCGUUGGACUUAAGUUCCAAUGGACAAGUGUCCGCGUGGGUUCGAACCCCAUACCCAGUA